CGUAAAAUGGUCGUGUCACAGGCUCACAGCCUACUGUCAACUAUUUUGUUCAUAAUCAUAUUUCUACUGAAUGUGCCAUCAAAAUGACACAGGAUUCAUCAUAAUUAUCUGCUGUUUGUAUUGGACUUGUUAGAUCACCACCCAGCAUGGACUAAUCUCUCAUUCCAUCUUAUAGAGAACCUUGGAUAACUGAUCGGUGGUUUCAUAUAUCAUAGACGUCAAGCACAUUGAUGACACAAAUU